AUUUUCUAUUUCCUUGGUUUGGAAAAAGAAGAAACUGCAGGAAAAGAAAAGGAGAAGGCAGCUAAGGCUCCUUCUGUAAACUAUGACAUUUCCCAGUGCUUGUCUAACAUCACUAGUUUGGUGGUACCCCGAGGAGCCUUUGUCUUUCAGUAUAAGGAUUUUUCUUUACCCAAGCCAGGAAAAUGAUGAAUGAUCAAAUGGAAGAGAACACAGGCUGACACUGGGAUGUGAUGGCUGCUGUUUGGAAAACCUCUUUGUCUCUCCAAAGUUUAGAUGUUUCUUAAUUACUUCCAAAAAGAGCUAUAAGGAGGCAUAGUGCACGUCUGCUGUGGAGAUGAGAAGGGAAAACAAAGUGUCCUCUGUCACACUGUUAUUGUCCUUGGAAGAUAAAGUUGGUGGAAUUAUGCUAAAAUGAGAACAUGAAGAACUGUAAAAUUGUAAUACAAAAACACAACAAAAACAAAAAAAACAGAACCACUGUCAUAUCUCCACUACUUCUAAAGCACCCAGGUGUCUCUUUUCUUUCUAUUUCUCAUUCUUGUCCUUUAUGACAAAUAUUUUGAAAUAGAAAAGGCAAAUUUGAUCUUAAAAUAUAUAGGCUGGGCAUCUGCAAUGUGCUCAGUGCUACAGUGAU